GACGAACGCUGGCGGCGUGCCUAAUACAUGCAAGUCGAGCGGACUUGAAGGAGUGCUUGCACUCCUGAGAGUUAGCGGCGGACGGGUGAGUAACACGUAGGCAACCUGCCCUCAAGACUGGGAUAACUACCGGAAACGGUAGCUAAUACCGAAUAAUUUAUUACAUAGCAUUAUGUGAUAAUGAAAGACGGAGCAAUCUGUCACUUGGGGAUGGGCCUGCGGCGCAUUAGCUAGUUGGUGGGGUAACGGCCCACCAAGGCGACGAUGCGUAGCCGACCUGAGAGGGUGAUCGGCCACACUGGGACUGAGACACGGCCCAGACUCCUACGGGAGGCAGCAGUAGGGAAUCUUCCGCAAUGGGCGCAAGCCUGACGGAGCAACGCCGCGUGAGUGAUGAAGGUUUUCGGAUCGUAAAGCUCUGUUGCCAAGGAAGAACGUCUCAUAGAGUAACUGCUAUGAGAGUGACGGUACUUGAGAAGAAAGCCCCGGCUAACUACGUG
rnacentral:rRNA from 1 species